rnacentral:rRNA from 1 species
UACGGGGGGAGCAAGCGUUGUUCGGAUUUACUGGGCGUAAAGGGCGCGUAGGCGGCCACCGCAAGUCGACUGUGAAAUCUCCGGGCUUAACCCGGAAAGGUCAGCCGAUACUGCGGGGCUAGAGUGCAGAAGGGGCAACUGGAAUUCUCGGUGUAGCGGUGAAAUGCGUAGAUAUCGAGAGGAACACCUGCGGCGAAGGCGGGUUGCUGGGCUGAUACUGACGCUGGAGGCGCGAAAGCCAGGGGAGCGAACGGG